CACAGCACCGCACCCCACAGCACUGCACCCCAUAGAGCCGUCCAUAGCACUGUGUGCCCCACAGCACCGCACCCCACAGCAUCACACCCCAUAGAGCGGUCCAUAGAGCUGUGCCCCACAGCACUGCACCCCAUAGAGCUGUCCAUAGCUGUGUGCCCCACAGCACCGCACCCCACAGCACUGUGUGCCCCACAGCACCGCACCCCAUAGAACUGUGUGCCCCACAGCACCGCUCCCCAUAGAGCCGUCCAUAGAGCUGUGUGCCCCACAGCACCGCACCCCACAGCACUGCACCCCAUAGAACUGUGUGCCCCACAGCAUCGCACCCCACAUCAUCACACCCCAUAGAGCCGUCCAUAGCACUGUGUGCCCCACAGCACCGCACCCCACAGCACUUCACCCCACAGCACUGCACCCCAUAGCGCUGUGUGCCUCACAGCACCGCACCCCACAGCACCGCACCCCAUAGAGCCGUCCAUAGAGCUGUGUGCCCCACAGCACUGCACCCCACAGCACCGCACCCCACAGCACCGCACCCCACAGCGCUGUGUGCCCCAUAGCACUGUCUAUGCACCCCACAGCACCGCAUUCCACAG
ensembl:lncRNA